rnacentral:rRNA from 1 species
UGGGGAAUUUUGGACAAUGGGCGAAAGCCUGAUCCAGCAAUGCCGCGUGUGUGAAGAAGGCCUUCGGGUUGUAAAGCACUUUUGUCCGGAAAGAAAUCCUUGGCUCUAAUACAGUCGGGGGAUGACGGUACCGGAAGAAUAAGCACCGGCUAACUACGUGCCAGCAGCCGCGGUAAUACGUAGGGUGCAAGCGUUAAUCGGAAUUACUGGGCGUAAAGCGUGCGCAGGCGGUUUGCUAAGACCGAUGUGAAAUCCCCGGGCUCAACCUGGGAACUGCAUUGGUGACUGGCAGGCUAGAGUAUGGCAGAGGGGGGUAGAACUCCACGUGUAGCAGUGAAAUGCGUAGAGAUGUGGAGGAAUACCGAUGGCGAAGGCAGCCCCCUGGGCCAAUACUGACGCUCAUGCACGAAAGCGUGGGGAGCAAAACAGGAUUAGAUACCCUGGUAGUCCACGCCCUAAAACGAUGUCAACUAGUUGUUGGGGAUUCAUUUCCUUAGUAACGUAGCUAACGCGUGAAGUUGACCGCCUGGGGAGUACGGUCGCAAGAUUAAAACUCAAAUGAAUUGACGGGGUCAUAGCUGUUUCCU